rnacentral:rRNA from 1 species
UACGUAGGUGGCGAGCGUUGUCCGGAAUUACUGGGUGUAAAGGGCGCGUAGACGGGUAGAUAAGUUAGAUGUGAAAUACCGGGGCUUAACUCCGGGGCUGCAUUUAAAACUGUUUAUCUUGAGUGCAGGAGAGGGAAGCGGAAUUCCUAGUGUAGCGGUGAAAUGCGUAGAUAUUAGGAGGAACACCAGUGGCGAAGGCGGCUUUCUGGACUGUAACUGACGUUGAGGCGCGAAAGCGUGGGUAGCAAACAGG